UACGGGGGGGGCAAGCGUUGUUCGGAAUUACUGGGCGUAAAGGGUCUGUAGGUGGCUUGCUAAGUCAGACGUGAAAUCCCUCGGCUUAACCGGGGAACUGCGUCUGAUACUGGCGAGCUUGAGUGCAGGAGAGGAACGCGGAAUUCCAGGUGUAGCGGUGAAAUGCGUAGAUAUCUGGAGGAACACCGGUGGCGAAGGCGGGUCUCUGGGCCGAAACUGACGCUGAGGAGCGAAAGCGUGGGGAGCGAACAGG
rnacentral:rRNA from 1 species